CAUACUGAGACCUUGCCAGUCAGCGUGGAAUACCCCCCUAUUACCAGUCAGAAAACCAAAUCGACUGACUACCGACCAGUCUAAGACUUGCGUGAGGUAAAGAAGCAGGUGACAGAUGUACACCCAACGGUCCCAAAUCCGUACACCCUCCUCAGCUCAUUGCCUCCUACCUGAACCUGGUAUACAGUCCUAGAUUUAAAGGAUGCCUUUUUCAGCUUGCCCCUGACACCUAAGAGCCAAAACAUCUUUGCCUUCGAGUGGACGGACCUGAAAAAGGAAUUAGCGGCCAGCCUACCUGGACCAGGCUCCCCAAGGAUUCAAGAACUCACCCACCAUCUUCAAUGAGGCCCUACAUGAAGAUCUAAGUGAGUUCUGAUCUAAACACCCAGAAUUAACUCUUUUAAGUACAUAUAUGAUAUCCUGGUAGCCACUGAAGACCAGGAGAUAUGCCUGUGAGGCACCAAGGACAUGCUUUCUACACUAGGAGCCUUGGGUUACCAAGCCUCAGCCAGAAAGGCCCAAAUCUGCAAGACAGAGGUAAGCUAUUUAGGCUAUAAAUUAAAAGGGGGACAGAGAUGGCUCACAGAAGCAAGAAAAGAGACUGUCUUAAGAAUACCGCGCCCACAAAAUGUCUGCCAAAUGCAUGAAUUCCUGGGAUCCGCAGGAUACUGCCGAUUGUGGAUCCCAGGUUUUGCGGAAAUAGCUAGAUCCCUUUAUGAAGCCACCAAAGAAAAACAGGAGUUUACAUGAACAGAGACCAUGGAGAACUCAUUCACUAGUCUUAAGCAGGCCUUACUCUCUGCACCUGCACUGGGGCUCCCUGAUUUAACCAAACCUUUCUACCUGUAUGUAGAUGAAAGUAAGGGAGUGGUGACAGGGGUGCUAAUACAGUACAUUGGCCCAUGGAAAAGGCCCAUAGCUUAUUUCUCCAAGCCGCUAGACACUGUUGCCACUGGAUGGCCCCCCUGUCUGUGAAUCAUCACUGCAGUAGCUACCAUGGUCAAAAAUGCAGACAAACUAACACUAGAACAAGAAUUAAAUGUCACCACCCCACACGCAAUCGAAGGGGUGCUCAAACAGCCACCAGACAGGUGGAUAAGUAAUGCCCAACUAACGCAUUACCAAGGACUGCUCUUAAAUCCUGCCAGAAUUCUGUUCCACACACCCGUGUCGGUGAACUCAGCCACCCUCCUCCCCAACCCAGACUGGGAGGCAGCAUUCCAUGACUGUGGGGAGGUCCUGGCUCAUGUUCACAGAGUCAGAACUGACCUGUGAGAUCAGCCACUGGCAGAAGCAGAUGCCACCUGGUACACCGAUGGAAGCAACUUCAUGCAAGACAGAGUAAGAUAUGCAGGGUUGAGACAGAAACUGUCUGGGCUGAGCCACUGGCUCCAGGAACUUCAGCCCAGCGGGCAGAGCUGAUCAUGCUGACCAGAGCAUUGACUAUGGCCAAAGACAAACGCCUUAAUGUCUAUAUGGACAGUAGGUAUGCAUUUGCCACUGCCCACAUACAUGGAGCCAUCUAUAGAGAGGGGAAGCUAUUGACUGCCGAAGGAAAAGCCAUCAAAAAUAAAGAAGAAAUUCUUGACCCCCUACCCGCCCUUUAGCUACCCAAAGCACUGGCAAUAAUUCGUUGCCCAGGCCACCAAAAGUCUGACACCUGGGUUGCCAAAGGAAAUAAAUUGGCUGACCAAUGUGCCAAACAGGCAGCCCUUUCUGUGGACCAUGCCCUAGUGACCACAUUGCCAGACCCAGGGGCCCCCAGUCUGCCAGACACCCCCUCCUACACUGAUGAAGACAAAAUGGAUCAAGCAGCUGCCCAUGACCAACUACCUAGAUGAGUGAUGGAGAGCCACCGACUGCAUCAUUCUACCGGAAGAGUUAGGAUGAUGCAUCCUAACCAAAAUGCAUUGGGCUACACACAUGGGGAUGAGAAAAAUGGAAGACUUGGUGUGACAUGCUUGCAUCACUAUCAAGGACUCUCAAUCAAAAAUUGGACAGAUCAUAGCAAGCUGCAAGGCUUGCCAACUGACAAAUGCAGCCGCCUAUGCGCCCAACCCUGGUGCCAGACUCUGAGGACAGUAGGUAUGCAUUUGCCACUGCCCACGUAGACAGGCCAGGCGUCUAUUGGGAAGUGGAUUUCACGUAGGUAAAGCCCGGAAAAUAUGGGUACAGGUAUUUGCUAGUGUUUGUAGACACUUUUUCAUGUUGGAUCGAGGCAUUUCCCACCAAGCAUGAGACAGCGCAGACCAUGGCCAAGAAACUGUUAGAAGACAUCCUGCCAAGGCACAGUUUUCCUGCCAGGAUAAGCUCAGACAGUGGACCAGGAUUUGCUUCCAAGGUAACACAGGGAGUAGCACAGGUUCUUGGGGCAGAUUGGAAAUUACAUUGUGCGUAUAGGCCCCUAAGUUCAGGACAGGUAGAAAGAAUGAACAGAACUUUAAAAGAGACCUUGACUAAAUUAGCCCUAGAGACUGGCGGAGACUGGGUGACUCUCCUCCUCUUUGCCCUUUAUUGGGUGCAUAACUCCCCGUAUAAGAUGGGACUUCCUCCCUUUGACAUCAUGUAUGGCAUUCCUCCACCUAUUAUUCCCACUCUCAAACCCAAAGUACUUGCUGAACUUGAUGAUCACCAAUUCCUUUUUUCCCUCCAAAUGUUGCAACGAACCCAUGAGCAGGUCUGGCCUAAGCUGAAAGCUCUUUAUGAGACCGGACCCCCUCCAGAACCGCACCGCUAUCGUCCAGGUGACUGGGUGUACGUCCGGAGACACCAACACCAGACACUUCAACCACGCUGGAAGGGACCCUACAUCGUGAUCCUGACCACUCCCACCGCUCUCAAGGUCAACGGAAUUACUCCCUGGGUCCACUGCACCCACAUCUGACCAGCUGACCCACACGCCGUUCUCAAGAACUUUGUUCCAAAAUGGAAAAGUCAGCUGGACAAAGACAAUCCUCUAAAGCUAAGACUGCGCCGUUCUCACCUAUCCCACUAAUGUUACUUAUACUAUGCCUUCCUCAUAUCAAAACCAGCAACCCUAACCCCUAUACCCCCUAUCAACUCACAUGGGAGGUGAUGAACUGGGAAACGCAUGAAGUAUAUAACAGCACUUCCCAAGAAGCCCCAUUAAACACGUGGUUCCCUGACUUGUACUUUAACCUAGACAAGGUGGCAGACAUUGAAAGAAUGGAAGGGG